GACGAACGCUGGCGGCGCGCUUAACACAUGCAAGUCGAGCGAUGAAAUUUCGACAGAUCCCUUCGGGGUGAAGAUGAAAUGGAUUAGCGGCGGACGGGUGAGUAACACGUGAGUAACCUGCCUUUGACAUUGGGAUAGCCUCGGGAAACUGGGAUUAAUACCAAAUGACACUAACUGAUCACAUGAUCAAUUAGUCAAAGAAAUUCGGUCAAAGAUGGACUCGCGGCUGAUUAGCUAGUUGGUGAGGUAACGGCCCACCAAGGCGACGAUCAGUAGCCGGCCUGAGAGGGUGAUCGGCCACAUUGGAACUGAGACACGGUCCAAACUCCUACGGGAGGCAGCAGUGGGGAAUAUUGCACAAUGGGGGAAACCCUGAUGCAGCGACGCCGCGUGAGCGAAGAAGGCCUUCGGGUCGUAAAGCUCUUCUAUGAGGGAAGAUAAUGACGGUACCUCAAGAAAAAGCCCCGGCUAACUACGUG
rnacentral:rRNA from 1 species